rnacentral:rRNA from 1 species
AAUGAACGUUGGCGGCGUGGAUUAGGCAUGCAAGUCGAGCGAGAACCCCGCAAGGGGGGACAGCGGCGAAAGGGACAGUAAUGUGUAGAUUAUCUGCCCUCAGGUCCGGGAUAGCUGCGGGAAACUGCAGGUAAUACCGGAUAACAUCUCCGGAUCAAAGGUGUGAUUCCGCCUGAGGAUGAGUCUGCAUCCUAUUAGCUAGUUGGUGGGGUAAUGGCCUACCAAGGCAUUGAUGGGUAGCAGGUGUGAGAGCACGACCUGCGUCAUUGGGACUGAGACACUGCCCAGACAACUACGGGUGGCUGAAGGCGAGAAUCUUCGGCAAUGGGCGCAAGCCUGACCGAGCGACGCCGCGUGUGGGAUGAAGGCCGUCGGGUUGUAAACCACUGUCAGAGGGGAUGAAAUGCAGGUGGGUUCUCCCAUCUGUUUGGCAUAGCCUCAGAGGAAGGACGGGCUAAGUUCGUG